GACGAACGCUGGCGGCGUGCUUAACACAUGCAAGUCGAACGGAAAGGCCCUGCUUUUGUGGGGUGCUCGAGUGGCGAACGGGUGAGUAACACGUGAGUAACCUGCCCUUGACUUUGGGAUAACUUCAGGAAACUGGGGCUAAUACCGGAUAGGAGCUCCUGCUGCAUGGUGGGGGUUGGAAAGUUUCGGCGGUUGGGGAUGGACUCGCGGCUUAUCAGCUUUUUUGUGGGGUAGUUGCUUACCAAGGCUUUGACGGGUAGCCGGCAUGAGAGGGUGACCGGCGAAAUUGGGACUGAGAUACGGACCAGAAUAGUACGGGAGGCAGCAGGGGGGAAUAUUGCAGAAUGGGCGGAAGCCUGAUGCAGAAACGCCGCGUGAGGGAUGACGGCCUUCGGGUUGUAAACCGAUUUCGACUGUGACGAAGAGUGAGUGACGGUAAUGGGUAAAGAAGGACCGGCUAACUACGUG
rnacentral:rRNA from 1 species